GUUAGGAACCUCUGCCCCAUGUCAAUGACACUAUGAAAAGAAAAACCACACGCAAAUAAAGAAGACCCUAUCACCCAGCCUAUUCUGCUGUUAGCUGGACUUGGCCAACCAGAUGCAGAUGGCAGUGUUAUGUGCCAUUUCCAGG